AACGAACGCUGGCGGCAUGCCUAGCACAUGCAAGUCGAACGAGACCUUCGGGUCUAGUGGCGCACGGGUGCGUAACGCGUGGGAACCUGCCCUUAGGUUCGGAAUAACUCCCCGAAAGGGGUGCUAAUACCGGAUAAUGUCUUCGGACCAAAGAUUUAUCGCCUUUGGAUGGGCCCGCGUUGGAUUAGCUAGUUGGUAGGGUAAAAGCCUACCAAGGCGACGAUCCAUAGCUGGUCUGAGAGGAUGAUCAGCCACACUGGGACUGAGACACGGCCCAGACUCCUACGGGAGGCAGCAGUGGGGAAUAUUGGACAAUGGGCGAAAGCCUGAUCCAGCAAUGCCGCGCGAGUGAUGAAGGCCUUAGGGUUGUAAAGCUCUUUUACCCGGGAUGAUAAUGACAGUACCGGGAGAAUAAGCUCCGGCUAACUCCGUG
rnacentral:rRNA from 1 species